rnacentral:rRNA from 1 species
GACGAACGCUGGCGGCGUGCUUAACACAUGCAAGUCGAACGGAAAGGCCCUGCUUGCAGGGUACUCGAGUGGCGAACGGGUGUGUAACACGUGGGCGAUCUGCCCUGCAUUUCGGGAUAAGCCUGGGAAACUGGGCCUAUUACCGGUUAGGAGCCAUUCUUAGUGUGAUGGUUGGAAAGUCUUUUCGGUGUAGGGUGAGCUCGCGGCCUAUCAGCUUGUUGGUGGGGUAAUGGCCUACCAAGGCGGCGACUGGUAGCCGGCCUGAGGGGGUGGCCGGCCACAUUGAGACUGAGGUACGGCCGAGACGCCUACGGGAGGAAGCAGGGGGGAAGAUUGCACAAUGGGCGCAAGCCGGGUGCAGCGGCGCCGCGUGGGGGAUGACGGCCUUCGGGUUGUAAACAACUUUCGCUAGGGACGAAGCUUUUUGUGACGGUACCUAGAUAAGAAGCACCGGCUAACUACGUG